GUUCUUUGUGGCUGGGCUGGGAAACCCCUUUAAUACAGCCUGAUAACGGAAACACUGAUGUGUCAUGAGUUUGGGCACUGCAAGCAGACUGCACUGGGAGGUUAUAAAAGUUGCUUCAGUACAGCAUGAGAAUGACAAGAGAAAAAGAGAAGGGAUAGAGAAUUCGGAGGAAAGAGGUGGCAGCUUGCAAUGAUUAGGUGUCUGCAGAGUAGGAAGUAGGAAGAGGUGCUCUCUUGUCUGUGCUAAUAGGAGUGAAAAUAGAGACCCCCUACCCCCCCUCCAAAAAGAGAACCUAGAAAACCAGUAAGGAAAGCAUUAAGCAGAAAUAUCAAAGAACUUAAGAAGAAAAUAAGGUAAAAAAGAUGAUUUGAUAUUGGAAAUUGUGAUACAUGUGUAGUUCUUUUGGAUUUUUUUUUCUUCCUGGAAGUGUUUUCUACCCUAGCACAUACAGUAGAAUAUUGUUGCCAUUGUGACUUCAAUUGCUACUGACUGUUGGC
rnacentral:lncRNA from 1 species